UACGUAGGGACCAAGCGUUGUUCGGAUUUACUGGGCGUAAAGGGCGCGUAGGCGGCAGUUCAAGUCACUUGUGAAAUCUCCGAGCUUAACUCGGAACGGUCAAGUGAUACUGUUUUGCUAGAGUGCAGAAGGGGCAAUCGGAAUUCUUGGUGUAGCGGUGAAAUGCGUAGAUAUCAAGAGGAACACCUGAGGUGAAGACGGGUUGCUGGGCUGAUACUGACGCUGAGGCGCGAAAGCGUGGGGAGCAAACAGG
rnacentral:rRNA from 1 species